rnacentral:rRNA from 1 species
AGUGAACGCUGGCGGUAGGCCUAACACAUGCAAGUCGAACGGCAGCACAGUAAGAGCUUGCGCUUACGGGUGGCGAGUGGCGGACGGGUGAGGAAUACAUCGGAAUCUACUUUUUCGUGGGGGAUAACGUAGGGAAACUUACUCUAAUACCGCAUACGACCUACGGGUGAAAGCAGGGGAUCUUCGGACCUUGCGCGAUUGAAUGAGCCGAUGUCGGAUUAGCUAGUUGGCGGGGUAAAGGCCCACCAAGGCGACGAUCCGUAGCCGGUCUGAGAGGCUGAUCAGCCGCACUGGAACUUGGACACGGUCCAGACUCCUACGGGAGGCAGCAGUGGGGAAUAUUGGACAAUGGGCGCAAGCCUGAUCCAGCCAUACCGCGUGGGUGAAGAAGGCCUUCGGGUUGUAAAGCCCUUUUGUUGGGAAAGAAAAGCAGCAGGUUAAUACCCCGCUGUUCUGACGGUACCCAAAGAAUAAGCACCGGCUAACUUCGUG